GUGCUAGCUUCUGCAGCACAUAUACUAAUAUUAGAAAGAUACAGAGAAGUUUAGCAUGACCCCUGCACAAGGAUGACAUGCAAAUUCAUGAAGCAUUCCUUUUUUUU
rnacentral:snRNA from 1 species